AUGGAGCCGACCUUGAAAUACCACCCUUUAAUGUUUGAUGUUCUAACGUUGACCCGUAAUCCGGGUUGCGGACAGUGUCUGGUGGGUAGUUUGACUGGGGCGGUCUCCUCCUAAAGAGUAACGGAGGAGCACGAAGGUUGGCUAAUCCUGGUCGGACAUCAGGAGGUUAGUGCAAUGGCAUAAGCCAGCUUGACUGCGAGCGUGACGGCGCGAGCAGGUGCGAAAGCAGGUCAUAGUGAUCCGGUGGUUCUGAAUGGAAGGGCCAUCGCUCAACGGAUAAAAGGUACUCCGGGGAUAACAGGCUGAUACCGCCCAAGAGUUCAUAUCGACGGCGGUGUUUGGCACCUCGAUGUCGGCUCAUCACAUCCUGGGGCUGAAGUAGGUCCCAAGGGUAUGGCUGUUCGCCAUUUAAAGUGGUACGCGAGCUGGGUUUAGAACGUCGUGAGACAGU
rnacentral:rRNA from 1 species